AAUAAGAUAAGCUAAUUUAAGCUAGUGGGUUCAUACCCCAAAAAUAGAAUAUUCUUCUUAUUA
rnacentral:tRNA from 2 species